GACGAACGCUGGCGGCGUGCUUAACACAUGCAAGUCGAACGGAAAGGCCCUGCUUUUGUGGGGUGCUCGAGUGGCGAACGGGUGAGUAACACGUGAGUAACCUGCCCUUGACUUUGGGGUAACUUCAGGAAACUGGGGCUAAUACCGGAUAGGAGCUCCUGCUGCAUGGUGGGGGUUGGAAAGUUUCGGCGGUUGGGGAUGGACUCGCGGCUUAUCCGCUUGUUGGUGGGGUAGUGGCUUACCAAGGCUUUGACGGGUAGCCGGCCUGGGAGGGUGACCGGCCACAUUGGGACUGCGAUACGGCCCAGACUCCUACGGGAGGCAGCAGUGGGGAAUAUUGCACAAUGGGCGGAAGCCUGAUGCAGCAACGCCGCGUGCGUGAUGACGGCCUUCGGGUUGUAAACCGCUUUCGCCUGUGACGAAGCGUGAGUGACGGUAAUGGGUAAAGAAGCACCGGCUAACUACGUG
rnacentral:rRNA from 1 species